rnacentral:rRNA from 1 species
UAUGGUUAAGUGACUAAGCGUACACGGUGGAUGCCUUGGCAGUCAGAGGCGAUGAAAGGCGUAAUAACUUGCGAUAAGCCCAGAUUAGGUAGUAAUAACCUUUUGAGUCUGGGAUUCCUGAAUGGGGAAACCCACUUACAUAAGUAAGUAUCCUGUUGUGAAUACAUAGCAACAGGAGGCAAACCGGGGGAACUGAAACAUCUAAGUACCCCGAGGAAGAGAAAUCAACCGAGAUUCCGAAAGUAGCGGCGAGCGAAAUUGGAUUAGCCCUUAAGCUUUUAAUGAGACAGAUGAAGGCUCUGGAAAGUGCCGCAAUAAAGGGUGAUAGCCCCGUAAUCGACAUCUCAUCAUCAGUGAAAACGAGUAGGGCGGGACACGUGAUAUCCUGUCUGAAUAUGGGGGGACCAUCCUCCAAGGCUAAAUACUACUGACUGACCGAUAGUG